UACGUAGGGGGGCAAGCGUUUGUCCGGAUUUAUUGGGCGUAAAGAGCGUGUAGGCGGCCUGACAGGUCUGCUGUGAAAACUCGAGGCUCAACCUCGAGACGUCGGUUGAAACCGUUUGGCUAGAGUCCGGAAGAGGAGAGUGGAAUUCCCGGUGUAGCGGUGAAAUGCGCAGAUAUCGGGAAGAACACCCGUGGCGAAGGCGGCUCUCUGGGACGGUACUGACGCUGAGACGCGAAAGCGUGGGGAGCGAACAGG
rnacentral:rRNA from 1 species